rnacentral:snRNA from 1 species
GGAUGUGAGGGCGAUCUGGCUGCGACAUCUGUCACCCUAUUGAUCGCCAGGGUUGAUUCGGCUGAUCUGGCUGGCUAGGCGGGUGUCCCCUUCCUCCCUCACCGCUCCAUGUGCGUCCCUCCCGAACCUGCGCUCUCAAGAGAAAAGGGACUUCAUCCAAGAGGUAAUGCAUCUGCUUCAUCUCAAACUAAGAGUCAAGCACAUUCCUGGAGCUAGGGUCCCAUUUAAAAUUCCAAUAUCUAUUUAAGGUUUUCUGAGAAAGUAUGCAGAAAAAACCCACUAGGGUUAUUUU